UACAGAGGUGGCAAGCGUUGUUCGGAAUUACUGGGCGUAAAGGGCUCGUAGGCGGCCAACUAAGUCGGAUGUGAAAUCCCCAGGCUUAACCUGGGAACUGCAUCUGAUACUGGAUGGCUUGAAUCCGGGAGAGGGAUGCAGAAUUCCAGGUGUAGCGGUGAAAUGCGUAGAUAUCUGGAGGAAUACCGGUGGCGAAGGCGGCAUCCUGGACCGGCAUCGACGCUGAUGAGCGAAAGCUAGGGGAGCAAACGGG
rnacentral:rRNA from 1 species